CAAUCCUCUUUUAUUAUAAGUCAUAACAUCAAGUGUAGAGGAAUCAUCAAGUUAGAAAGGUCUAGAGAAGUCAAGGAGAGGUAGGUAACACUUCAACUGCAAAGUAGGGAUAAAAUUCUUUUCAAAUUUAACUUCAGUUUUAACUAAUUCCUUAUUUUGUGAUGCUACUAUGAUGUUAUUAGUUAUACUCUAAAUUUUAUAUGGUCAACUAUGCCGCCUAUAUUGUGAUAUUUUUUAUUUACUCCUUGCUAUGGUCGGCUCUGUCGCCUAUAUUAUAAUCCCAUUUUGUUUAAUCUCUAUAUGGAUGGCGCUGCCGCCUGCAUUAAAGAUUGUCGUCCUUAAAUGGCAUUGUGUAUUGAUUUUUCUGUACCUCCAAGAAGUUCACAUGUUAUAAUAUAAGUUGCAUUGAACACAAACAUUUCAUGGAUUACUUUAUAAGAAGAAAUUUUAGAAAAAUGAAUUUAUCAAAAAUAGGUUGUUUUACUACAAGGAGGUAAAGUUCCCAAGGAGGGCAAGCCCUCAAAACUAAGUAAAAAGAAAUCUUUUGGGGAUGACGAUACGUAAUGCCCAAAUGAUCAACUAAUUAGGCCCCAGGGCAUAUUGUUUAAAGAAUAAGAGUGCUCGCCUUGUCGUGCAACAUGCCUAGAGCCCUUAUAAAGUUGUUUUGUUUUUUUUCUAAGUUCUUUUAAAAACUUAAUAUGGUCAUCUAUAUGCAUAGUAAAUUAUACAUGCAUCAAAGUGUUAUCUUAUUGCGCAUUAACUCAUAAAGUCCUUAUGUUGUAGGUAAUGAUGAGUAGGGCAAGGUAGCGCCAAGUCCUAACCGAGGCGAAGUGUAUAUGGGCAUAAAAAACCUUAGGUUUUAUGAUGAGCUCAACUUUGUUUCAAUAAAAAAUAAAUAUCUUAGCUUUAUGUGAUAAUAAAGUUCUUGAAAUAUAAACCAAGGAAUCUUUGUAUACCUUCUAUAUUUUGUAAAGACGUUUUGC
rnacentral:lncRNA from 1 species